CCGCAAGGGCAGUGCCUUCAGCACGGCUGUAGCGCGGCAGGAGACCGACCUGACACCAGAAAUGAUUGCCACGGGCUCCUGGCGGAAGCUCCCCUUCAAAGCCUACAACUUCUCAGCACUGGGGCUGCCGCCCGCCUGCGGCCACCUGCACCCCCUGCUCAAGGUGCGCUCGCAGCUCCGCCAAAUCUUCCUAGAGAUGGGGUUCACAGAGAUGCCCACA